CCGCAACGUCGCCUAAGCCCCUUCACCGCAGACCCCGGCGCUGCCCCGCCCGCAACCGCACGGCUCACCGAGCCCGGCCGCAACGCCGCCCAGGCCGGCGGCUCGCCCUCCCCCAGCCACCCCGCCCCUAGCAGGCGGCUCAUCGGAGCCCGGCCGCCCUGCCCUCGGCAGACGGCUCAUCGGAGCCUAGCCGCCCCACUCGUGGCCGUCGGCCCGCCCUCCCCCGACAGGCCCACCACCGACCGGCGGCUCGCCGGAGGCUGGAGCCCCAUUGCGUUCUUGUGUGCACUGUGCGACAGGACGGCCAGAAGAGCCCAUCUGGACGGUAUGCUACGGCCAUUUUAGUGAAUACAGUAACAAAUUAGUGUAUUUCUCUAUUGUCCUGAAUAUUAUUUUUGUAUUAAUAUGUUUUUUGCCGUUGGAUUUGUAACUUGUUGCUGCUCUGGGCAGAUUUCAGGCCACUCGGCGGCUGCUGAGAGUUCAGGCAAGUAAUUCUUGCAGAUCUGCUCGAAAUUCAAUCUAAAGUACUUAUGCUAGGCCAUAAUUCUUUUUUGAUCGAAUGCAACAUGCUGGUAAUUUCUAAUCUUGGACAACUAAUAAUAGUGUUGUUAUUUUUUUGACUGAUUGAUUCUUAUGUUCAAUUUUUUUAACCAAAUUAUGCAUAGGAUUGAUUACUUUCUAUACUUUGAAGGUAUGUACUGCAUGUUUUGUUUGGUAGGUAGGUUUAGCAUGACUGGGUUCAGUAACAAAAUCAUCAUAAUUCCUUUUACUUAUGGUGAGGUUGCUAUCUAUGAAUUUGUCUAUAUGAUACAUGAUGUGAUGUCUCUUAUAGUAGAAGCUCAAAGGAUAUGAAUUUGUGAUCCAUGGAUUUUUAUCCCCCUACUGCACAUAUACCUUGGUAUCUGAUUUCUGCUAAUGAUGAUUUUGCAGGUACUUUUCUGAGUUCAAGUCAGGUGCAAAGAUGAUGUAUUACUGUGGAGAGCACCAUGAAUGCUUUAAAAUCUGCUCAGGUUUGAUCUUUGUGUUUGGCCUUGUAUUUUCAUUGUAAUGGAUUUUUUAUUUUCAAAGGAGAUACGAUAUUCUCUUUACCUAUUUCUAAGUGAUCUUUUGCACACUACUGUCUUCUUUUUUAACUCUAAUGAUUGCUAGUCAGUUCCUGUAAAUGAACGUGUUUUACAGUGGAAAAUGCAAAGAUGAGAUCCUGCAUGAUUUGACUGAAUAGGAUGUCCUACAUAAUUUGGUUCAGUAGCUAGUAUUGUACAGAACACUAGGAUUAGUAAGAACGAAAAAACAUACUCAUGUAUUUGCUCUUUAUCCUUCUCUAUAAUCAGUUCAUUUAGUAAUAUUUCAAACUUUUUUACUAGAUGGAGAAUCACUCAAAUACGUAACACUCAGUUCAUACAAAACAGUUAGAGAACAAUUCCAUGCAACGGCAUAGAAUGAGUAGGUUACCUUUUUUAAGAUAAUGAGUAGGUUACCCUUCUUAAAAAUAAUGAGUAGGUUACCCUUUUAAUCUAUAGAAAUUUUGUAGUCCAACUCAUACUUACAAUAUACUAUCUGUUUUACAGCUAGUUCAUCUCAUGUUAAUGAGGACAUCUAUGGUGACGACAUGGACAACGAGAAUACAUGGACGUCAACGACUUGUCCUUUUUGAACAACUUAUGUCUUAGCUGUCUUUUGUCUUCUGAAUAUGUAUGGUUGAGGGUUGAGCCUAGAUACUACAAUGUUAGAUGGUCUUAGCUAAAACCACAACGUAGCAUGCGACAUGGAUGUACAUGAAUAACUUAGCAGGCAUGUGCUGGUGGUAGGAUGAUGGUGGUACAAUGACGUUUGUGAUAUGUAUGUGAUGUCUGUGAUAUAUGUGUUGUUGAUGGUCUAUAUGUGAUGUCUAUUAUAUAUACUCUCUGUUUGUUUGGAUGGAAUGCAAAAAACAAAUAAAA
rnacentral:lncRNA from 1 species